AAUCUCUCUGUCCUGAACCCUGGAGAUCCAUUAAGGUUCAUAUUUAAACCACCGCAUUUACCAGCUAUUUCAUUCGCUCGUUGUUCCUUACCCAGUCCAGUCCUUCGGUUUCCUGGUUCCUGAAGGCUGACGCCACAAACACAGUUGCAGGCACAGUCUUUCCGAGGCGCUUAUCGAAAAUAAUGAGGUUCCUUCAAGCAAGCAUCGUGGCUCUGUUCUGCCUGGUCCUGCUGGGAGAAGAAGUUGCUGGAAGUGUAGCAGGAUCUCGCAUCAAACGUCAGUCUAAAGAGCCUCCGCUGGAGCCGGCAUCCAUCGCCGGUCAGGAGAAUCAUGAAUGCGGAAAUGACAAAUGUCUCGUGAGAGGUGAUUCAGGCUCUUGCGUGCCAAAUGUCGAUUGUUGCAAAAAGGAUUUUAGCGGCCAUGACUUCGAUUGUUGCGAAGGGGGCUGGAAAGCCAAAGGCUGUCGUAAACCAUAAAAGCAAUUUACCUGCUUUUGUUUGUUACCGGCUCUGUUAGAGAGAUGCUCUUACAAUAGCAUAGUCUCAUGAUCAGAGAGUUCAGCCGGUAGUGUUCAUUCUUAUUCAUUCAGUAACUAUUGCUUUUCAUUGGGGGGAGGGGGGGCGAGAAAAGUCGUUAUGACCAACUGCCACUUGCACCAGACCACUAAGGUGUGUUGUCCUAUUAAAUUCCUUUUUAAGAGAUGAUGGGGAAACUAACGUCACUUUUGAACCUUCAUUUUCAUCCAGAAUUAGUUGAGUGUAUAGUCGACAUACGCAGGGCAAAAUCCUACAAUAUCUUUAAAAAAAUUCUAAACCUAGUUUAAUACAGUGAUGGAAAACACAAUUUCAAAUGUAGGGUUAUAAUAACUGACAAUACAUCAUAAUUCUGGGUUUCUCGGGAUAUCUGAAAGACUCACUGGUAAUAUUCUCCUUGUGAAAUGGACUUUUUCAAACUAUGAUUUUUUUUGGUCAGUGAAAUCUAGCUUUAGAAUAAUGUGAAACUUCCUACAAAAUCGAUGUUAAAACUGGAAGUAUCAAUACUUAUCUUUUAACUAAUGGUUUAGUCCUAUGACAGAAAAUGUCAUUAUCUUUGUUUAUCCUUCACAAACCAUUUUAAACUAGUUUCUUGAGAGACAAAGGCGAUUUUCGGCUGUAGUAUGUUCACCAGUGUACCAUUGUGGUAUGGCUUAUAGUCUCAUUAAGCGUGACCUUAUAACAAUGCAUUAAACGUUUAUCUCAAAUGUGGGAUUUGUGUAUCACUUAAUGUUCUGUUUAUUUGUAACAUUGUUUCCUUCAUAAAUUGUAAUCAGUCUGAUUUUGAAAGCAAUAAAAUGAAGUAUGUGU